AAUGCGUAGAGAUCUGGAGGAAUACCGGUGGCGAAGGCGGCCCCCUGGACAAAGACUGACGCUCAGGUGCGAAAGCGUGGGGAGCAAACAGGAUUAGAUACCCUGGUAGUCCACGCCGUAAACGAUGUCUACUUGGAGGUUGUGCCCUUGAGGCGUGGCUUCCGGAGCUAACGCGUUAAGUAGACCGCCUGGGGAGUACGGCCGCAAGGUUAAAACUCAAAUGAAUUGACGGGGGCCCGCACAAGCGGUGGAGCAUGUGGUUUAAUUCGAUGCAACGCGAA
rnacentral:rRNA from 1 species